AAGGACUUAAGUUAAUUAAACUAUUGACCUUCAAAGUCAACUUUAGGGAAGUCUCCCUAGGCCU
rnacentral:tRNA from 1 species